GUGUGGUACGCCUUCUUUGAAGUACGUAUAUUGUGUACUCAUGCGCACCGACGCAAAUGGUUAUUUCAUCACUAGAUUAUGAAUUUGUUUAUUAAUGUAAUAGGAUAAUUAGUUGCGCUUCUUCGUAAGUACGGUUUUCUUAUUUAUUAUUACAAACUUUUGUUUACAUUUUAAACCGAAUAUGGAAGUAAUACAAAGAAUAGUUUUUAAAAUUAAUUUUAUUUUUUCAAAUAAGUUUACUAACAGAGACACAUGAAUUACUUUACGACUGCCUUACGGUCAAUACACACCUAGAUAAAUGAAAAACCUCGAUAGAGCCCGUUUAUCAAUUGUUGAACUUUUUAUAUUCAGUGUAUACAUAUUUAUCAGACUUGUUCACUUUUCGUUAUUGUGCAUCACAGUAGGAUUUGAGACACACUGUUUUAACAUCUUUCAUUCUGCAUUUAGAUAAAUUGAGAAACAUUCAAUUACGUGUGUAUGUAUACACGUUCUUGUACACAUUAUUUUUAUUUAUUUCCACAUUUUAAAAAAAGUUUGAUUUUUCUUAAAAACUUGUGUUCGACUAACCUGAACACUUUUUUUUUGUGCAAGUGGUCGUAAUUUAUGUAAGAUCCUCUCGUUAUUUAUGUGAGUGUGUAUCAGUGAAAAGGUGCCUCCUUCUUUAGUUUUUAUUGAUCUCUGUACGUUUACCACCUAAGCCCUCCUUGUUUUUCUAAUAGUUGAAAGUAUUUUUUGUAUUUCACUGCAUUGCUUGUCAUUUCAGUCACCUUUGUUAUUCUGUUUAUAACCCAUCGAUUCCGUUCAGCAGGGUUGUCCAUUUAAUGCUUAUUUUUUUCAACCGGAAAUAUGGAUAGUUCAUUUAGUCGAGCUGCUUGACUUUUCUUUAAAUCAUUUAGUUUUAUUAUCAAACUUGGACUGUAUUACAGUGUUACAUUUAUGUCAGGUUUAAAAAUGUGGUAACUAAGAAAACGUUAAAAAAGGAAGGUUACAUUAUAUUUCCAAAAUUAUUUUUAUACUGUUGGAGUUCUUGUGUAUCAAUAAUUUUCGAUGAAGUUAAUAUUUACAUAAUUUGUAUUAAUGAUUCACGAUGUGACAGCUACGAAGAGUAAACAAGUGAUGCGUCAUGUGACAUUUUUUUACAUAUUAAUGUCUUCUGAUUAAUGUUAAUUAAUGAGUGUUUUAUUUCGCAUGGUGGUAGGAUUGUAAGACAUACAGUUACAUGUAACCACUGCGGUUAUUUUUAUGAUAUAUAUAUAGAUACAAAUUAUUACGUAACAGUUGUGGGUUAUAUUCCGCCUAAAAUAUAUGAAAAACCACAAUUCUAUUGUUAUAUUAAUAAAAUUAUAAUACGAUAAAAUUCUUCCGCCACGUACAUAAAUAUAUUUGUUUUCUAAAUUCUCUUCGUUCAAACAAACAUAAAUUAUUUAUAUACUAGACUAUAUAAUUUCUAUAUACCUCGGCCCAAUCUGUUUCUCAUCUCAUUCAUAAUAGAAAUAACUAAAACUUGACACUAGUUUUAGAACUUGUCAGGCACGAUGAACAUUCUCUUUAAAUUUAUAUAAUAACAAAUAAUUGCAAUACAUGUUUAUCAAAUGAUAACAAAUAACAAAGGUUUGUAAUUGUGUAAAUACAGUCCACUUCACAGAAUAAGUGAAUAAGUUGCACUCAACAAUCUACAAAAAACAAACAGAAAAUGUUACAACAAGUAUUUAAUACUGUUUUCGAAUAUAUAUGUGCUUAAGUAUAACUAACAAAAACUACGUGUGAACAUGCGAAUGGUCAACGCUCUUAUCGAUAAUUUCAAAUCGAGUCCACCGUAUUUAAGUCCACUCAGGUUUAUAAACCGGUUACAAUUCUAUUGUUAUUGUUUUCGAAUAUAUAUGUGCUUAAGUAUAACUAACAAAAACUACGUGUGAACAUGCGAAUGGUCAACGUUCUUAUCGAUAAUUUCAAAUCGAGUCCACCGUAUUUAAGUCCACUCAGGUUUAUAAUAUAAAUAUAUUCUUUAUACCUCAGCCCAAUCUGUUUCUUAUCUCAUUCAUAAUAGAAAUAAACAAAACUUGACUGCGCACGAUGACCAUUCUCGAAUGUAAGUUUAACAAAGAAAGAAAGAAAUUGCAGUAAAUAAUGAUAUAAACCUAAAGAUUUUGAAACUAAUAAGCGUUUUUUUUUCAAAUUGUCGCUUAUAUAACUGUCUUUCGCAAUAUCGCAGAUUCCACCUUCCGUGAAUCUUUACUAAUCUGUCCGAGACACCAGAGUUACUAGCGGCUGAGCAACCGCCUGCCCUAAAACUAUGUUGUACACAAAAUUAUUGCGUUUAAACCUAUUGAUAGAGCCCUUUUACAAUCCCUCUAGUCCUAGUAUAAGAUAGUUGUAUAUUCUUUUUUCUCAGCUUACAGUUGUUUGUACUUUUACAAUACGAUAAAGCUCUGAACACAAAAUCAUCUGAGACUGUCUAUUUUAGCUUUAUCUAUAAUAAUCACUUAAAAUUUUAAACAGACAUGUGCUUGAUCAAGUUCAGUCAGGAUUCUACUUCGUCAAAAUUAUCUCCCCAUUACGCCAGUUCAUUUACACAAUCGUAGAAAUGGAAGCCAUUGUAGGGAUGACGCGCUACCAAUUUUGCUCUUGGAAACCGAUAAAUUUAUCCACAUUGUACCAUUACGAUCCUUAUAUGUCAGUUGUAUUUUAAAAGACAAAUGUAUCAACUAGCUAAUGAGCAUCAGUAAUUGAUCUAAUGUCUGCAUUUCUACAACUUAAAAUUCUUAUUGUUAUGGAUCGGUUGUCGAUGGAAUUUCGAAAAUUCAUUUAAACAUUUAUAAAAAUCUUAAAUUAAAUAUUUCGUGAAGGGCAGACUAGAUUUUUUUAGUGAUUACGCAAGCUUACUUAUAAACCCUAUUAUACUUAGCACAAAACCAAUAAUUUUCUAGAAUAUAUGCCAAUUCUUUCAUCACAUCACAACUGAUAAAGCACUGUCGUCAAGUUACUCUGUUCAGUUAAAAAAAAGCUAUUCGAACACACACUACUUCUGUUCUUUGUUCUCAUUAGAUAGUAUUUCACUUGACCCCAGUGAUAUAUAUCAUCUUUAUAUGUGAUUAUUCUUUAUUGUUAUAAAGUCAACCUCGAAGGCUUUGAAUAUAUAAAAAUAGAAUUUUAAAGCGAGACGACUUGUGUUGAAAUCAUUCUUGUUCCUCGAUAGCUUAGACAAAAUAUCAACUCAAACCACGCUUCCUACAUAACACUCAAAAAAUAAGUCUCACUCAGUAUUUCUCUUUUUCGAAACAAUUGUUACCCCUUUUUGAAAUUUUUUUCUUGAGUCACAUAAUGGAAGGGCAGACACGAAAAUUACUGAACUAAUAGAUUGAUAUGUUUUCCGUCCGUGGUAAAAAAAAAUUAAAUCGGAGGUUAUGCAUUUUCUACAUCCAACUUGAAAGAUACCCAUGUCGUCGACUUGAUAUCUAAUUGUUUUGCUUAACUAUGUACUAGAGAAAUUGAAAAAUUAGGCAAACGGUGUUUUUAAAAUAAAACACUUCGUAAUUGAGAAGAAAUUUGUAAUUUUGUUUGUUUCUAUUAACUUUUAAAUUUUUUGUCACUAUAGUAAACAUUACAGUACACAUUUCUCUAACAAAGAACUUCGAUUCUUUUGUUCUAUUUCAACCGGGUUUCCGACUGAGUUUAGCUAUCGAAACGGGGUUUCCUUUAUAACAAUCGGUUUUGCUACUAUCAAUAUAGAUAUCAAUAUGAUCGUCUCAGAAUGUAAUGUUCUUAUCUCUAAUCUGGCAUAGUUCGCUGUACCUUAAAAAAUCCUGAAUAAGCCAGAAAACACAUAGCUUAUAAUCUAAUAUUUUUUAACGAACUAUUUGUACCGCCAAAUUUCUUAAAAAGACUGAGCAUGAUGUUUGCAUUCAUCGGUUCUAUUUUCUGAAUAUGCCUAUUAAGCUUUCUUUUAGAUGCCUUCACAAUACAAUUAACUAUAUCCUAGACACAUGGGUCUUCAAAGCCAGCAAAACUGUGAGCCCACUUUAUAGCGUAACAUGCAGCUUCUAUAGUACUGUAGUGUUUAGCAAUUUGCAUUAGAUAGUGAAGAUAUAAACUGACAUAAAUGUCAUUGGCAGGAAGGACAGACUUGAUUUCUGUAUACUUAUCAGACCACACUACAAAACGCUUAAAACUGUAUGCAUAUUUAACAGUUUUUUCUGGCUUUAGAGUCAAUAACUGAAUUCUUCAUUUUUCUGAACAAAAUCUUAAGUUCUGUGUGCUUUACUUGUGUGUCAUUUUUCCAAAAUCCUGUUGAAAAUAUUUUCUGUAAAAUAAUCAUAAAUUAAUCAAAUAUUUACCUUGAAAUAUGAGUAACUGCUCAGCAUACAACAAAUACAAAAAAAAAUAGGUCCAGUGACCAUAACUAUACCCAGUAUACUUGGUAUCUACAGGCCAAGUGGCCCCAAAACUAUCGUAAAGUGACACACUUUAUACACCAAUCAGCUUCUGUAAGCCAACAUCUCUGAAUAGAAAACCUCCAGUGAGUAAAAUCUGCAUAAAAUAAUAAAAAGUCAUCCCAAAUAUCAAUCAGAAGCUUUCAAACGAACAGAUAAAAUUCUACCCUUGAAUUUUUCGUUCGCAAAAAUAGAAUUUAAAUUAUUUCCAGAAACUAAAAUUCUGUCUACAUCGUUUAAUUCAAGCACGUCUAACACGUAAGAUCUGUACUCUGCAUUUUCAUCAAAAAUUAAUGACCAGUAAGAAGAUGACGGCCAACUCGGAACUACCAGUGUUCCCUCUGCUUUGCAUCUAACCAAGUGGUUUAUGCACUUAUAAACUAAAGACACAAGUGGUACUAAAAUAUUGUUUUCUUGUGCUCGGUGGCACGAGAAAGCGUCCAGGGUUCCAGUACAACGAAAUAAAUUUAACUUCUUUCUUAUUGUCAAUAUAAGCAAACCUAAUCGAAGGUAUGAGGACCCCAGAGAUCGACUAAAAACUGAAAGUACUCUGGAGAAAUACCCCAGUCAUCAAUAUCUAUAAUCCGACUUAAUAAAUCAGCCUGCUCGUUCUCUUUUCUGGGUAACCAGAUAAUGUGUAAUGUAAACAACACCUAUAAAUUUCUAAGGACAACUGUUGUAACUCUUGUACUAUGCUACCUUUAUUUAUGAUACACUGACACAUAACUGAUUCGUGAAUUGCUUUUACUUCUCGCCAAGUAGAACUCCUAACUCGCCCAGUUUCUAACCACAUUUUGUGCAAUUUUUUGUUGAAUUUUGUAUAAAACCAGCAGCGUCUGUAUCGCUAGCGUCUGUAAAAACAUGAAAAUUUGAAAUGUUCUUUACCAGAUCAACCGCCUUUAAUAAAGGCAAAUUAUCUCUCCAGAAAAUUAGCUCAUUGAUACAAUCAGGAUACUUGCCGAUGUUUACAUAUUGAUCCCAAUAGUCUCUUAUAUUAAUGACCGAAAAAAUAUUUCUUGUCAUGAUCUGGGUAACAUUACCUACUGCUGGUGUUAAAGCAAUUAACUUAUCACAGAUUUUGGCCAACUUUCGUACCUUUACCCUGUAACUAGAAUUUAGUAUAACAGCUACCAAAUUCAAAAUUUGAUCUAUUUUUCUUUAGGGAAUUAACAAUUUGCAAGAAAUUAAAUUCCAUGAAAAACCUAACCACUCAACGUGCUGUGACGGUAACCAUACACACUUGUCUUUGUUUGGCACAAAACCAGAAGCAAUCAAGUCUGCUUUGAUUCUUCGGGCGUGCUUUUCACAUAGUUCAUAACUAACUUCGACCCCAAAACCAUCAUCUAAAUAAACAGCUACCUUUAUGCUAGAUUUACGCCAGUGCUUUACCAAUUGUCUCACAGUUUUAGUAAAUAUGGUAUAUAUAUACCCGCUGGAACUUAAACCAAAUGGCAACAUAGUAAAAACAUAAAAUUCUCCUUUCCACGAAAACCCUAAAUACUUUUGAUGUUGUUCAAAAAUGUUUAAGUGAUGAUAUCCCGACUCCAAAUCAAAGACAUAUCCGUAACAAUUCAAAGUAACAUAUUGUGAUAAAGUUUCCCAAUCUCCGAAUUUGAUUUUGUUUAAAAUCACUCGCUUAUUUACGUGUCUAAAAUCUAAAAUCUAUCUACUGUUAACUGAAACAGUUAAAGGAUUAACAACAUGUGGCAUAAUUGAUACACGUUUUACUAAACCGCCCGAUACAAGCUCUUUAAUUCAAUAAAACUAGAAGCGUUAAUACUUUUCCAAAAGUUUACAGAAUUUUUUAGCCUGUCUUUAACAAAAAUAUCUGAACAACCCUUUUCAUAUUUAAAAUAAGAUUCAGACUCGGAUUUCUCUUGAACUGAAUUUUGUGCGUAUUGCUAUGGCGUUAUUUUGCAUUGCUAAAGGUUAGGGGGAGGGUUGAGAUCUCACAAAACAUGUUAACCCCGCCGCAUUUUUGCCCCUUCCAAGUCAGGAGCUCUGGCCUUUGUUAGUCUUGUAUAUUUUAAACUUUUAGUUUCUUAUGUACAAUUUGGAGUUUAGUAUGGCGUUCAUUAUCACUGAACUAGUGUCCAUGGGCAUGCGUCAAACGAUAUGGUAGGGUAAACGAACAGUCCUAGAAAAUGGGAUAUAAUUGAUGGAUAACGUAUGAAUUAACAGUGUCCUUUAGCAGUAAUGUCAAUGGGUAAUAUUUAUUAAUUUGAAACGAUACACAAAGAAAAUCCGACCGUGCAAGACCCUCAUGGGUAGUCAAUGACGUUAAAAAUAAACUCGUCACAAAGAAAAUCCGACCGAGCAAGACCUUCAUGGGUAGUCAAUGUCGUUAAAAAUAAACUCGUCACAAAGAAAAUCCGACCGUGCAAGACCCUCAUGGGUAAUCAAUUUCGUUAAAAAUAAACUCGUCACUAAGGAAAUCCUACCGUGCAAGACCCUCAUGGGUAGUCAAUGUCGUUAAAAAUUAACUCGUCACAAAGAAAUCCUACCGUGCAAGACCCUCAUGGGUUGUCAAUGUCGUUAAAAAUAAACUCGUCACAAAGAAAAUUCGACCGUGCAAGACCCUCAUGGGUAGUCAAUUUCGUUAAAAAUAAACUCGUCACAAAGAAAAUCCGACCGUACAAGACCCUCAUGGGUAGUCAAUUUCGUUAAAAAUAAACUUGUCAAAAAGAAAAUCCGACCAUACAAGACCCUCAUGGGUAGUCAAUUUCGUUAAAAAUAAACUCGUCACAAAGAAAAUCCGACCGUGCAAGACCCUCAUGGGUAGUCAAUUUCGUUAAAAAUAAACUCGUCACAAAGAAAAUCCGUCCGUACAAGACCCUCAUGGGUUGUCAAUUUCGUUAAAAAUAAACUCGUCAAAAAGAAAAUCCGACCAUACAAGACCCUCAUGGGUAGUCAAUUUCGUUAAAAAUAAACUCGUCACAAAGAAAAUUCGACCGUGCAAGACCCUCAUGGGUAGUCAUUGUCGUUAAAAAUAAACUCGUAACAAAGAAAAUCCGACCGUGCAAGACCCUCAUGGGUUGUCAAUUUCGUUAAAAAUAAACUCGUCACAAAGAAAAUCCGACCGUGCAAGACCUUCAUGGGUAGUCAUUGUCGUUAAAAAUAAACUCGUAACAAAGAAAAUCCGACCGUGCAUGACCCUCAUGGGUUGUCAAUUUCGUUAAAAAUAAACUCGUCACAAAAAUAAAUCCGACCGUGCAAGACCUUCAUGGGUAGUCAAUGUCGUUAAAAAUAAACUCGUCACAAAGACAAUCCGACCGUGCAAGACCCUCAUGGGUAGUCAAUGUCGUUAAAAGUAAACUUGUCACAAAGAAAAUCCGACCGUGCAAGACCUUCAUGGGUAGUCAAUAUCGUUAAAGAUAAACUCGUCACAAAGAAAAUACGACGGUGCAAGACCUUCAUGGGUAGUCAAUGUCCACAGGCACUCGUCUCAGACAAAAAUAAUCCAAUAUACCUUUGUUAUAUGAAGGUAUAUAUAAGGAUAAAAAAAUUUCUGAGACGAGUGCCUGUGUCAAUGUCGUUAAGGUUUAUGACCCCUUCUGUAGCCGUGCGAAUUUCGAAAUUUUCAAACUGCAAUAGUAUCAAAACAGCAAAGGUAAUAAAUAGUAGAGAUAGGUCAUUUUGUAUAUAUAUAUACCAAGGGGAAACGUCCUGCAAAGCUUUAUUUUUUAUUGUUUCGUUGCAUUUAAUAGCAAAAUCCAAGAUUUUUGUAGAAAAUCCACAGCCUUUCCCCUUUUACUCUCAUAUUUUACAAUUCGGUGUUUGAUCAAUGGAGGACUAUUGCAUGCAGUGCUAGCAAUGAUUUCCUUAAAGCAAGUUUAUAAAUUUAGAUAUUGGUUAAAACAAAUAUAAAUAUGAGCCAAUUCAAGUACACCUUCUAUGGUGCGCUCGACUUUAGUGACUCGGCACCAGAUUUUUUGGAAAAAUAGCAAAAUGGCUUGCCAUAGUUUUCUCAUUCAGUGGAUGCACGAAUAACAAGCAUUUCUACCAGAACGAAGGUAAAUUAAAUACUAAAACUUUUUUCCAUUUUGUUAGAGUUCACUCUCGGCUUUUUCGGCUACAUGUUGAAUUGCGAGAUAAUAUUAUAAGAUAUAUUGUAAUUCAAUUUUAUGUACUUUUCAUCUAUAUGUUUAUAACACACCAGAUAAUAUUCUAUUAAUUGGACGGUAGUGACGUAAAUGUAACUUAAAUAACAGUAAAAUUGCAUAACGAAAUGACAUCCUACAUUCUUAUGUAUGUAUAAGCUGUAUCUAUCGCAACCAAGUACAUAUAACUGAUAUGAGGGUCUAAUUGGGGUUUACAGAAAGGUGAAGACAGUGACUAAUAUUACACAAGUUCUAUAGUAAAUUUAGGAGGAAAUUGUGAGAGAAAAAUAUUAUAAAGAAUAAUGGGCAAAGUAAUGAAUAUGGAAUAUAGAUCGUAAGAAUUUAUAAGGGUUCAAAUAUGAAGACCCCUUAUCAAGUUGCUCUAUAUGAAUAUUACAGCUGUAGAAAUUUAUACUUUCAUUGAGAUAAAAAAUAUAUUAAUCUUCAUAGCGCCAAUACAUGAACUUUGGGUUUUUACCACAGUCAUUAUCACUAAAUGGAGUAUUCAGUAUAAAUCUAACAAGUGUAAUUGUUUUGAAUUAUACUCAUAUUAAUAGAAAAGUUUUCUAACGCAAUAUAUAUAGAAAGAAAGUAAGCCAUUGUCAGUGUCGGAUCCCGAAGUUUUCAUAAGUGCAUGGGGACCCACUAACUGCCUCAGAGGGACCGGAUUCAGUCAUGCUUCAGUGAUUCUCUAUAUAAUCUACCACAUUUGUCGCACAAAAAGGGGACGGGUCCCCUGUCCACCUCUUAAAUUCGCCUCUCAUUGUAAUCCUUCACUAAAAUGGAGAAAUAAACGUUUCUAGGGAAAAUGACAGAUAUAUAGUUUAGAAUUAUCGAAACAUCUAUUAUAGACAAAUAUAUUUUAAAAGUAGGUCUGACCUAACCUUAGUAUACCUAUUACAAAAAAAACAAAAAAACAAAAAAACAGCCGUAGUCUUGACAAAAAUCAUACAGACACGUGACAUGUGUGAUACACACUUUUUCAGAGGAUCUCAAGAAAGUGUCCUCUUUUUUUCGGCAUAAGAAUAGCAACUCCAAAGUAAUGACCUCAUAUGGAACUUCCUUUUUCAUUUGAUUCAGUUGAAAACUAAGGCUUUUCUACCUCAAAAUCAUACAGACACGUGACAUAUGUGAUACACACUUUUUCAGAGGAUCUCAAGAAAGUGUUCUCUUUUUUUCGGCAUAAGAAUAGCAACUCCAAAUUAUGACCUCAUAUGGAACUUUCUUUUUCAUUUGAUUCAGUUGAAAACUAAGGCUUUUCUACCUCAGGAAUAGAUUACCUUAGCUGUAUUUGGCAAAACUUUUAGAAGAUUUGUAUCCUCAAUGCUCUUCAACUUCGUACUUUAUUUGGCCUUUUAUAACAUUUUUAAUUCGAGCGUCACUGAUGAGUCUUUUGUAGACGAAACGCGCGUGUAGCGUAAAUAUCAAAUUUUAUUCCUGGUAUCUAUGAUGAGUUUAUUUGACUGAAUGAUUGGUCAGAACUGUUUAAAUAUGCUUCUCACAGAUUUACAAUGUUUCAAUUUACUUGAACAAGAAAUUUGAAACAUGACAUUAAUUGAGUUGAUAGAUUGGUUAUUAGUUGACACUGGUCAAUGAAUCCACUUUGACAACAAAUUGCAAAAUCAAAUGUUAUACAAGUAUGUUCGGUAUUUUUUCAACGUAAUUUAUUUGUUUUAAUCUUCAAUGAACCUAUACAAUCUACCGUAGUGACGCAGUUUUCGCCCUUUUUUAAUGUAUAUAGCAGCUAGCUGAUUCAAAGAAGACUUGCGUUUCUUUAUUUGUAAAUUUUUAUGCUGCGUCAAUGUGACAAGUGUUUAUCGGUCGAGGAAAUCAUACGUCCGUAUUACAAAGCUGUCAAACUAAGUCAAUUAAGAUCGUAGUCAGUGGCGGAUCUAGGUGGGGAAGAUUUCCGAGGGUUCCAAUGAUGAAACAACUUUUUUUCACGAUCAAUACAUUUGCAUGGGGCAUAUAUUUUGGUCCCUCCUAUCUCCUAAGUAAUUGAACCCCCUGAAUUCGUCCAUGGUAGACGAACCCACUUUGUCGUAGCCUCGAGGUCAUAGCAGUUCUCCGAGAUCACACAUCUUAAUGAUACCAUGGAUACGGAAAUGUUUGUAAAAGAAAGUCAUCUUGUUCUCUACCUUGACUUAAAAUAAACAACAUUUUUAUCCAUAUUCACUAAACAAUCAGUGUUGAACAAAUUAAUCAAUUAAAAUUUAAGUAAAAAAUUCUAUGUAGAUCAUUGUGCAUUUUGUUUAAGCCAUUUUCGUCAUUAUUAUCAUGUCCAAAGCCAAUUACAUUUUCAGAAUUUCAUGUGACCUCUGAUGCAAAGAACAAAUAAGCACGUGACUACAGGGAUCCAUCAUUUUUUAUUGAUAUCGAUUAUCUAAUAUGAUGAAUUGGUCAUAAUUGUUAUGAUUGUCCGGAGGCGAAAACAAAUCAUUUGAUAAUUAAGGAAGUAAGGAACGAGAUGUCAUUCAUCGUAUCAUAUGAAUAAUAAGAGAAAUUCAAUGUUAAUUCAUAAUUGUUGUCUGAUUGAUGCAGCAACCAAACAAAAACAGUAAAGACAUCUAAACAAAAGUGGUCUAUACAGGGUUAGAAACAAAUAACAACAAAUGAAAGUUUUUAACGACCUUGACUGGCUAUACAGCACUUGCACAAUCGGUAAAGAAACAAAUGUAAAUCAGUUGGAGCCUUUUAUAGCUGAGCUUUGUUCAUUAUUGAAGGCCUUACAGUGACCUAUAGUUGUUAAUUCCUGUACCAUAUUGUAUCUUGUGGAGAGUUGUCUCAUUGACAGUCUACCACAUCUUCUUUUUUUCAUAUACAUAAAAAUAAAAAAUAAAAGUCCCAAAAAUCGAAACUUUAGAAACACUUGUAAACAGAUAUAUAUAUAUAUAUAUAUAUGCAUCCUUUACUUGACAGAUGCUUAUACUUUGCUAUGCUUAGCGGGUUACCAUGGUUACCUGUGCAAUAUUUUGAUUUGACAAACAUUUAUAUCCUUUACGACUUCCGACACCACUUAAUUAUUAUGUUACGUAAUUAGAUGACAUGAAAUUACCUCUCUAAUUCAAAAUAUUACAGAAUACUAGACCUUCUUAUCUCUAUUGAAACUCUCGUGACGUCAUGUACUUUUGAAAAGAUUUGGAGCUAGAUUAUUCUAAAAUGGCAUCGGACAUUAUUUAUAUGUGGUUCAACUAUUGAUUCAUCUGGCGUAAACUAUGUAUUUGUACCAAUGCGAUUAAUAUUCUUUUUUAAAACAUUAUUUUUGAGUUCAUGUAAUUGAUUAAUUGUUGGUUGCUUAACGUCCAGUGGUAAAUAUGUUAUGCAUGGUCAGGGCGAUUGUUCAAGCAACAUUAAUGGUGAUCAGUUUAAAAAGUAAAAUCACAAAAAUGCUGAACUCAGAGGAAAAUCUAAUCGGAAAGUCCAUAAUCACAUGGCAAAAUCAAAUGACAAACCACAUAAAAAACGAAUGGACAAGAACUGUCAUUCUCCUGACUUGGUACAGGACACUUAAGUGUCAUUAAUGGUGCGAAGGUUACGGCCAACAUUUUUCUAUCAAUUACAUGAACAUCCGCCGCUUUAAUUGGUCAGAUGGGGUAUACAAAUAUGACCCCUCGUGCUGAUUGGUUACAUAGGGUAUACAAAUAUAACCCCUCGUGCUGAUUGUUCAGAUACCGACCGUACAAGGGCUGUAUAGCCAAUCAAGGUCGUUAAAAACUUUCAUUUGUUGCUGUUUAGGUGGGGAAUACAAAAAUGCAUGACACUUCGUGCUGAUACGUGUUAUUUUCCCUUUGAUAAAUGUCAACAUUUUAACUGCACGUUAACCCGAUAUUUUUUUCUUUCCUUUGUUUCCGCCAGAAAUUAUACGAUUGUUUAGAAUAAGUUUAUUAACUGAAGUUUCUAUUCAUUAUGGAACCGAUCACAUUUAUUUCAUGCACUUAACCAAAGGAGUCUCCCUGGCUUGAACAUUGAACUAACGAUUUACAGUCUUCUUUUAGUUCGUUAAAGUUACCCGAUUCAUAAACGUCUAUUUAUAUUAUAUACAUGUAUGUGGUAUAAUAGCCAAUGAGACAACUCUCCAUCCAAUGCAACUCACAAUUUGUUAAAGAAAAACCAUUAUAGAUCAAAGUACGGUCUUUAACAUUGCACAUUGGCUCACAGCAGUAAGCUAUAAAGGGACCGAAAAAUUACUAGUGUAAAACCAUAGCCUGGUUCUGUUAAGUCCAUGUUAACAUCCGGGGUGUAACCAUGACAUAUUUGCCACUGAAAAUUGAAUAAUCUACAAUGAAGCAAUUCAGUCGUUCCCUAUCCCUGAUCUAUUCACUGUAGCGUAAUCAUCUACACAGGGGCGGACCCAGGAUUUUUCAAAGGAGGGGCGAAAUAUUAAAAACUCGCCAAGCGGAGCGAGUCGAAAAAUCUCCCUAUUAAUUGUCUAUCAUAUAAUGAUAGUAUGGAUCCAAAGGCAUGUACUGAUAUAUUUGAUGUGGGACUUGUCAGUAAAAAAUAGACAUGGAAAAUUUUCAUUUUUUGUAUGUUAAGUUAGAAUAAUCUCACAGAUUUCUUGUUGUAAACAAGAUCUACGUCGGGCUAUUAAAUGAAAUUUAGAAUACGACCGACACGAUUUAAUAAAGACAAACAAGCAAUUGUUAUUCAAAUGUUUGGCUGAUAUGUUUCACCGAACAAAAAUAAGGGAAGUGAGGGGUUCCAAAUCAACCAAAGGCGUAUACGAAUGAAACAACAAAUCUAUAAAUGACGGUCGACAAAUGAAUACAUAAAAGCCACACCCAGCAUGCAGUUUGCAGAGGUUGCAGUCUUGUCUUGAAAAGGUAUAAUAAACUGUAUUAAAUAUAUCAAUACGGCGAUAUCCGGUCAGAAAUGCAAACCCCUGCCCCUCCAAAAAAACAUACGCCCGUUUUUUAAUCAUCAUGUUCAUUUUAUGCUUCAUAAUUCUGUUGGAAAUUUUCGUUUCUGAUAGCAAAAAGGGGACAACAUUAUUGUUUUCAAUCCAGAUACGGCCAGAAUUUUAAUUUAAGGCAAAAAUCAUAGUCAUAUUUUGUUCUCUCUCAAAUAUCUCAGACUGCUUCCUCAAAUCAAAUGGUUCGCAUCUUAUACUCUAGAGCUUAAACUGACUGGGGAUCAUUAUUCAGCUUCUGUAUGUUAUUUUAAAAUAGGCUGGGGCGUAUAGGGUUGAACAUGUUUUCGUAGGUGAAUAAUAUUGCUGAAGAACUUUUUUCAUGAGAGUGUAAUAGAGCUUUACUUUCUAUUUAGUGGAGUUGUGAAAUAGAAGUCAAUACGUUUUUGUUUAAUUCUGUGUCGCUAUGAAGGUGUCAUGAUUGUAAUCCUUAGCCUUAUCAAUGUGUUACUGUAAUUUGAAUUUCAAAAUGGCUGAGUGCCGUUUAAAUUUUUACGGCGAACUGGUCAACACCACCGUAGCGAAUUUUAUGACUUUGACAUAAUCAGGAAAUACCAGCAAAAACUAUCAUUAUAAGUAAAGAAUUGUGAGUUCACGAAGUCUAGUCUGAUUAAUCAUUUUGCAAAAAAAAAGUCCACUGAAGCAGAGAGGGGCGUACGCCUUUUACUUUCCCUCUGGAUCCGUCACUGCUACAUGUACAUGUAUUGACUGUAGCAUAAUUAGAUCUUUCUCUUUCUUUCAAUCGAACUGGAAGUAGUAAGAUAGCUUGUUAGGAGAUCGAAAGUUUCAUCCAGAACAAUUCAAAUCUUGGAACAGUAUAUCUAUAUAUAUGCUCCUGGUAAACCAAAAACUUUAAACAGAUCAUUUGUUUCUUCUUCACUGUCGAGUAAUAAGGAGUAGAAACUUGAAGAAAUAUGCUCAACUGCAAUUAAAAAAAAUGUCAAAUGACGAAAUACUUUAUCUCUCUUUUGACUGUUAUCUCGUGAAUUAGCAAGUUUACAGUUCGACUACAUGGGGGCGUCAAUAUCAUGAUUACAAAGCAUUGUUGAUAUGUAUAUCCUAUAAUCAUGUUCUUGUCCAGAAUGUACAUGUAUUGGUCAUAUAUACGAUGUGUUUCUAUAAUCUUAAACACAGGUAACACUAAUAGAUACUGUAGUAUCAAAAUCGAGGUACUUUGCAUGUUAAAAGCAUAGGUCAUAAUUAGCCUUAGGCCAGCCUAUAUUACAUGUUUUGACAUUCUUCGUAACUAUGUAACAUUCAUGGCCUACAUUAUGUAACACGACAUACAAUUAAUAGAGCUUUAAUAAAACUUUUAAGAAAAAAAAAGAAUAUAUAAUGUACUAAAAGUACCAGGAUAACAAUAUUAUAAAUACAGAGCUUAAAUAAAACUUUUAAGAAAAAAACAAAAUAUAAUGUACUAAUAGAACCAGAUAACAAUAUAAAUACAGGGUUUUAUUUAAUCGUUGAUAUUAUAUGUUAUUCAGGUCUCAGACAGGGUAUAUACUGUGACAUUCCCGGCUUAGAGUUUAUAUCCCCUGAGCCGAAGGCGAAGGGGAUAUAAGCCCUAAGCCGGGAAUGUCACAGUAUAUACCCUUUCUGAGACCUGAAUUACACAUAUAUUACAGAUUAAUCCUGACUUAAUGUUAUUUUCCAGUGCAGGCAUUUGUUGAUAACACAUAUAUAUUGAAAAACCCAACCUGAUAUGUUCGGCAUACGUGAAGGAUUUUCUAAUUUGCUGUGAACAUAAUUUUAUCGUGUAUGUAAUAAUUUAUAAUAACACUUUUAACAUCAAAUUAAAGUCUUAAAAGUGUUAAUUGCGUGAUUUUGUAUCAAAAAUGUAUUAUUGACUGAAGCACGUCAUCAUUUUCCCUCUGUGAACCUCUGACAGUCUGAUAGCUUAAGACUACGUCACAUAGUAACCGGUGUUAUGAUGACGUUUUUGAGGUUCCAAUUGGGGAUAAAAACGUCGUAUAUACCCCGGCAGUUUCCUGAAUAUAUACUGACAUCUCUGUGUUGUUAUCCAAUCAGAAACCUCGACACAUUUGUAAUCCGUAAUAUAUAAACUUUCAUACUGUGCGUAUUGCUAUGUGUUUCCGUAUUCUACAUUGGAUAGAAGUAUAGGGGAGGGUUGAGAUCUCACAUAGCAUGUUUAACCCGUCACAUGUUUGCGCUAGUCCCAAGUCAGGAGGAUCUGGUCUUUGUUAGUCUUUUAUGUUUUUCGAUGUAAGCUCAGUUUUAUUCAGGUGCCAGCUGUGGGCCACCUCCGGCCGCGAUUUUUUUUUCGCUGCGUUGAAGACCAACUUGUGGCCUUCGGCUGUUGUCUGAUCUAUGGUCGGGUUGUAGUCUCUUUGACAUAUUCCCCAUUUCCAUUUCCGAUUUUAUUUAUUUUUCAUACUGCCAGAAGAAACCUGUGUCAGUGGUUGUCCUUUGUUGAUGGGGGUCUGAAGUGUUUCUCGUUUCUCUUUUUUAUAUAAUACAUUAGACGUUGGUUGUCCUGUUUGAAUUAAUUCAUACCAGUCAUUUCGGGGUCCUUUAUAUAUUGCUGUUGAUGCAAGCGAAGGCUCCGUGUUAAAGGCCGCAAUUGUUUACUUUUUACACAUAGUGACUUGCAUUUGGAUGGAGAGUUGUCUCAUUGGGACUUGUACCUCAAUUUCUAUAAAUUAUACAUAAUUAUGGAGCGUUAAUUACUAAAACUUUCAAGACAGAAACAACAACACUGGUAGUGCCAGGAUAACUGUAUCACAAAAUAAUGACUUUUUGUCGACACGUCAAACAAGCAACCAUUAAUUAUUCUUUUUUUUUAAAUACACACGUGCGUUUGUCAUAAUAUUUUAUUUGUUGUUUUUUCUGUUUGUCAUAGACCGAUUCUCAUUGAAAACAAAACUAUUGUUUUUACCAGUCGGUUCUCGUUUCCAUUUUAUCACAUUCAAUUAUGCAGUGAUUGUUUUAACUCAUUACCUUUAUGAAAAGAUCCAUCAUAAGCAGCUAAUAAGUUUUUGUAAACAUAAUAUAUAUAACCUUUCGACAUUUACCUUUGCAAUAUGUUAAUUUAACAAAAACAAGUAAAUCCUUUACGACUUCCGACAUCACUAAAUUCUUGUAUAUUAUAUAAUGAGAUGACAUGAAAUUACGUCUGUGACAAAAACAAAUGUUAUAUUCGGAAACAACAAUGACAUGCAUAAUGCAUUCGUCACAACUCGGCCAAUUCCGUAUCUCAAUCUUACGAUAGAUGGAGGAAGCGGAGUCACCCGAAGUCUGCCGAUUGAUGCACACUGAUGCUAUUUUUUUUCUAUUUAUUAAAAUGACUCUCCGUUGCCGAGUUAAAACAAGACAUGUAUCAUUGUCCCGCGUAGUAAUGUAUAGCCGACUAUAUAAUAUGGGUCGUACGGUUAUAGUUCCUUACAAGAACUUUAUUUGAAUGUUGGUGAAUAGUUGCCUCAUUAGCAACCAUACAAAAUCUUCUUAUUUUUAAAUCAAAUAUCUGUUCUUGAUAUUAAUAGUACACCUGAUCGCAAUCUAAUCCAAUCCGCAGAAGGAGCCUCGGUGGCCGAGUGGUCUAAGUAGACUAGUUACUACUGUUAUCACUAUAGUCCGUCGACUCUGAGGUUGUGAGUUCGAAUCCCGCUUGAAAGUCGGUGGUUUUCUCCGGGCACUCUGGCUUCCUCCACAACUAAAAUUUGGCCGCCACGAAAUAGCACAAAAGCGGAGCUUAAAAGUGGCGUUAAAACACUAAAAAAUCAAUCCGGAUAAGUUCAGAGACAACUCUUUACAACACACCUAAUGACAGAAAAAUUAACAACUAUGGUCACCGUACGGCCUAUACCCCCCCCCCCCCCCCCCGUAUUGCACUAAAUGGCGAUUAGGUGUAUUGAAAUUGUAUAAUAAUGUAUAAUAAUUCAAAUGUCUUAGUUAUGUGCCCAUUUCAUUUAAACGUGUUUACCACAGAAUUUAAAGCACACAUUCCGACCGGACGAUGCCUGUCAUUAAUGCACCCCUUACAAAAAUAAUCGAACAAUAAUCUUUACCAUAGUGAUUUCACGAUUGUCUUGUCUUGACUAGGUGCUCAUUGUAGACACUUUUUAUACCGAUCCAUCUGUUUUUCUUAUUGAAUAUAUAAUGUACUAAGUGGGACAUUUAAUAGCAAUUUCUGUUUCUUGUAGGUUUUACCAUACCCGCCAACUGUCACUAUUUGUGGGGGAUUUCCCCCAUGGAGGCUCCCAAGUAGAAUUUUUGUAAGAGCAAUUUUGUCCACUAUUUUAAAGAAAACAAUCAAUUUAACACUGGCUAUGAGCUUGUUAAAGCACGACGAAACCAAAAAAACACAUUAGAAUAUAUUUGAAGGAUAUUUUGUAGGACUAUAAGAACCAUCUUUCACGUAAAACCCCUAUGGGCAUUUUGAAAUGUUGGCAGUUAUGUUUUACACUUUUUACACUUAUUGAAACUGAAAUCUUUGAUGAGUUGGAUUGAUACCAAUACCGAUCAACGUUUCGGUUUACGAACCCGACGGCAUCACCAGCCAAACAUUUGAAGUGUUCUGGUGUUGAUGACAGCGGUAUCAUCCUUUUCUAUACACUUACCGUUCAUUAGGCGUUAUAGCUUUUCUAAGCUAAGGUUUCUUUUAGUUAAUCUAGACUUUGGCACAGCAUUUUGUACGUUUUCAAUUUUUGAAUGCUGUUCAAUUUUGGAAUUGGUUUUGUUUUGUUUGAUUCGAGCGCCAUUGACGAGUCUUGUGAAAAGAAACUCACGUCGGACGUAUAAAUUUUACGCCCCGUGUUCUUUUGUCUUUUUAGUUCUUACUUUAUUAUUACAUAUACUAGUAUAUUAAAGCUGUAGCGUUAAGCAUCAUCAAGGUCGCUUACAAAACCUGACAUUUGUCAAAAGUUAAUAGCGUUUAAAAUAACUUGUUUUGCUAUAUAAAGAACCGUGUUGUAAAGUCAACGCCUGAUCUUCUUGUCAGUGAUACUAUUUUUAACUGUAAAAAGGUCCUACGGACUUCAAAACGAUACAUAUUUCUGGUUUUGAAAUGUUUAAUGCUUUGAAAGUUCUCGAAUAAAAUCUGUACUGUUUAAUCUUUGAUACCUUAGAACUGAACUUAUGAUACUAUGGCACUAGAGGAUCUGUACGUGUUAGGAUAAAUCUGCAAUCAGUAAAAUGUGGAAUGAGUGCAAAUGAGAUAAACUCCAUCAAAGUCACUAAGUGUAAAAAAGUAAACAAUUAUAGGUCAAAGUAUGGUCUUCAACACGGAGCCUUAGCUGAAACAGAACAACAAGAUAUGAAGGACCCAAAAUGACAAGUGUAAUACAAAUUCAAACAGGAAAAACAACGGUCUUAUCUAUAUUUAGAUACGAGAAACGAGAAACACUGAUGAAUAGCAUGACCAUACAACAACCACAGAACAACAGGUUCCCUGAAAAAAGGAAAAUAUUUUAAACGCGUCAUUAAAAGUUUCAUUUAUUAUUCCGACUGUUUGUCUAUAGGAUGAAGAUAUGUGAUUUUAAGGACGUUUACUGCUUUUUGUAUUGGUUUUUUAUUGGUCUUUGUUUGUUUUUCAGAUGGCAAUUUUAUAUGAAGGAAACAUAUAGAGAGAAGCGUUUCCCGCCAAAUGUCAAAGGCGUAUAUCUCUAAAAUAAGACACGGACCAUAUUUUUGUUCUGCUAUUUUAGUUCCUUUAUUUAUAUAGUUACAUACUAUCAAUUUAUAACAGUGUUUUAAAUACCCUGUUAUUUUGAAAAAUAGUAGCAAAUAUCCUUAAAACCAAUACAGAUGUUGGCAAUCAUCCAUUUUAGUAUACAAAUACAAAUGAAACUUAUAGAAAUCUCGCGUUUCUUCGAGGUUAGUCCGAGAUUACACUGACGUCCAACGGCUGUUUUGUCAGACAAGCUGGGGCGUCGGCUGUUUUGCCAGACAAGCUGGGGCGUCCCACAGCCCCAGCUUGUUUGGGAAAAUAGCCGUUGGACGUCAGAGUAAUCUCGGACUACUUCGAGGUUGGUCUAGAUAAUCUUAGGCAAACGUUUGUUUUAAUGAUGUCGAUGAUGUUUAAACAUUUCGUGGAAUUUUGAUUCUUUUUACUCUAGUACACAUUGUGUGUGAUUUCGUUUCAUUGUCGGUUAUCUAAUUAGAAUAUUGCUUAGGAAUCAACCAUUUAACUCCAGGGUUUUUUUUUUUUUUUGUCUGAGUCACAAUUAACACUAUAAAGUAAAGGGGAAAUCUGGAUAAAGAAAUUCCUCAAUUUGGGAAUCAGAAGAUGUUUUUUGUUUUUUGUUUUUGGUUUUAUGAAAAUACCAUUCCGGUUCUAUCCCUUACUAAACAACAUAGCUGUCAGAUUUUAAAUUCUUAAAUUUAGAGAUCAUAUAAUAUAUGUGUUUUUGAAGGAAUGUGUGGUCGUUUCCAUUGACCAAUCCAUGUCUGUUUUUAUGCAUCAAAUUUUCAAACCUUUAAACACAAAGAUAAAAACAUUCAUGCAUGACUCAUUAAAAAGACUUCAAGUUGUUUGACCUUUUUAUCUAAGGGUGCUACCAUUUGAUUUUUUAUGGGAGGUUUGGAUGGGGUAGGAUGAAAUUUGAAAAGAUGGCAUGACAGAUUUUUUUUUCAUUAGAAAAAAGGAUGAAGCACUUGGCAAUCAUAAAUGCAGGAUGACAAUUUAUUUUUAAAAAAAGUUAGAAUUAUUUUUUAAAAGAAAGCAGUACCGUAUAGAGUGAAAAUAAAAGGGCAGGACAGAGAUUACAACUAAAAAAUUGCAGGAAAAAAAUGUUCAUCAUAAUGCGCCACCCCACCCCCUACUCUAACAAUCCAAUGGUGGCUCCCUAAAAACGAAACGACACAUACUCAUUAAACAUUUAGUUUGAACCACAUAUAGAUAUAUGACAUACUUAUGACUUAUCUUUACAUUCCUAAUAAAGAUUUAAAAGAAAACUUGAACAAGUGAAAAUAACACUUAGUUUAUAAUUAUUAGGCACACCUAGAGCUUUUCUGGGUUUACCUUCAUUAGGAAAAUCCAUAGAUGACUGUUGGAAAGCAUAUGUAUGUUAAAAAUUUUAUCCUGCAUGUCUUUUUUUUUUGUUAUAAUAUCUGUACUGCCUUUUUAUUUUUUAACUCUAUUCGGUCCUGACUUUUUUUACAUUAAUUGUCAUGCUUUUUUCUUUUGGCAAAGUUGCUCAUCCUGUCCUUUUUUACUUGAAACUCCUGUCAUUCCUUGUUUUCAAAUUUCAUCAAACUCUCCCCACCCCUAUAAAAAUCAAAAAAUCAAAUGAAAGCUUCUUAAUACACUAGACGAGUGUUUCUUGUAAUUCUAAUUUGUUACCUGUUCGUGUUGUAAUUGAUGAUCUUACAAGUAAAAUUCAUCUUCAUUUAACUUUUGCCCUUUCAUAUUUUGAUCUUCUAACAUUUUACCUUCAUCACCUGUCACAUUCUCAACCUUGUACAGUAUAUAUCAGAACAUAAAUCCAAUUAAUCAUACAGAGUUUGUUUAGUAUUAUUACAUAUUAAUUUCAGAUGGCUUUGAUUGGUGAUGUUUAAUGUGAAUAUAAUUUUAUGCUGCAUGAACUGUUCGGAUUAUCAGAAGACAUUUGAUUGGUAAGACUUGUACUUCUAUGUAAAUGCUGAGGGGGGAUAGGAGGGGUCCUGAUCCCAAAAUCCCGGGCUUAAAAACACGAGAUCCCGAAAUCCCGGGCUUAAAAAACAUGAAAUCCCGAGGUCCCGAAAUUUGAAAAAAGAAUUCCCGGAUCCCAAAAGGGUCAAUCCCGAAAUCCCGAGCUUAAAAACACCCGAUCCCGGAGUCCCGAUAAAGGUCCUAUCCCCCCUCAAUGCUGGCACACUUGUAUGUAGAUUAAACAUGACUUUUUAGAAUACUUUAUACAUCACAAUAAUAACAUACCUCUUACACAAUUAACCUCAACCAUGGAAAAAACAUGGACAGAAAUGUUAUGUCAAUAAACCAGAAAACACAGAUUUAAAAUAUCGAACAAUCACACACAAAAAGUAAACUCAUAAAAAUACCGAGCUUCGAGGUAAUUCAAACCGGAAAGUCGCCAAUCAAAUGACAAAGUCGAAAGCUUAAACACAUCAAACGAAUGGAUAACAACUAUCAUAUUUCUGACUUAGUAUGGGCAUUUUCUUGUGUAGAAAAUUGAGGUAGUACGUCUAUGUAACGAAUGAAUAACAACUGUCAUAUUUCUAACUUGGAAUAGGCAUUUUCUUUCAUAGAAAAUGGUGGAAAUCUGGUUUUAUAGCUAGGUAAACCUCUCACUUGUAUGCCAGUUGAAAAGAAAUAUCCUUAUUUUGACACCGAUGUGUGAACAAAACAAAAAGUAAAAAUGUCUAAACAGUGGAACAACAGUCAACAUUGUGUUUUAGUCUUAAUCACUAUAAACAAACAAAAUAUGUGACAAAGAAACACAAAAAGGCACAUAGACAAAGCAGAUAAAACCCAACAUAGAAGUACACACAUUUUGUAAUCAAUUUACUUUUUUUGAUAUUUGAAUUUUCAUUAACUUAUUCACCUAUAUAUAUUAUUCUCUGAAGCAGAAAUUAUUUUAGUAUUAUCAUAUACUUAGACUAAAUAAUAUAUGAUUUUUACUGUAUGAUAAUAAAAAUAAAUUAACGUAAACUCCAUAUUUUUCGAAUUGGUGCUUAUCGGACUGAUACGAAAAGUUUAUCACAUGCUUCAAUUGUUAUCACAUGCCUUUCCGUAACAUUAUCGCAUGGCAUUCCGGUGAUACUCGGCAAAUUCUGGAAAAUACUCCUCAAUGCUACGUUUUCAGUGAAAAAAAUUACAAAGAAGUCAACAAAACAAUUAUUUGAAUACUGGAAAGUAUAUUGUGAAGCAUAAUACAAAGAAUUUUACAAAAAUACUGAACUUCGAGGAAAAUUCAAAACAGAAAGUCCCUAAUCAAAUGGCAAAAUCAAAUGACAAAACACAUCGAACGAAUGGACAACAACUUUCAUAUUCCUGACUCGGUACAGGCAUUUUCAAAUGAAGAAAAUGGUGGAUUGAACCUGUUUUUUAAUAGCGCUUAACUGCUCACUUGUAUGACAGUCGCAUCAAAUUCCAUUAUAUUUACAACGAUGUAUGAACAAAACAAAUAGAUAUAAAAGUAAAAAUGUGGAAAUAAUGGUAGAACAGUCAUUAUUGUGAUUUAAUCUAAAUCACUAUAAACCUAUCAAAUAUGUUACAAAGAAACACUAUAGACAAAGCACAUUAAAACCUCAUAGAAGGGCACACACAUAUUUUGUAAUCAAUUUACUUUUUUCUAUAUUUGAAUUUUCAUUAACUUAUUUACUUAUAUAAUAUAUUAUUCUCCGAAGCAGAAAUUAUUUCAAUAAUAUAAGAUAAAAGACAAAAUAUGAAAAUUAUCCAAGAUUGUCUUUUUUUACCUUUUUGUUCUUUUCAUAUGGCGAACAAAGUAACUUUAUUGUGUUUUUAAUAUAUAUAUAAAUAUAAACAAAUACAUUUGUUUAUAUAUAUAUAUCAACAUAAAAUGUCAGUUCGGUAGCAUAUAUAUCUUUAUAAAAUGACUUUGCUGUACUUAAAAAAAACUACAGACACUCUGCUUGAGGAUAUAUCUAUUAAAGUAAAUCAAACUGGCAGGGUUAUUUUAGAGGAAAAUUCAUGCUCAACUGUUUAUCUUUAUUUUGAAGGCUAUAUAUUAAUAUAUAUCAAACACUAUUCAAUCAUUAACUGUUGACUUACUUGUAUUGCAAGAUGGAAACAGCAAGAAAAGUUAAGAAUUUAAAAUCAACUUUACACUAGAGUUAAUUGUGAAAAUAUGAAAAAACAAACGUUAACGUAGAAUCCGAUCUCGAAAAUCGAUGAGAGACAGAAAAAAUUAUGGCGAAGUAGAAAAACAAACUGUGAAAAGACUAACAACAGUCGACAAAACAAUGAAUAUAAAUUUAGACGAAGCAAAACGAACCCAAUAAAAACGGCGAUGGUAUUAGGCUGAAAGGUUAAGCAUAUCCUGUCCCCAUGUAAGCAUGUCCUUUUGGAUUGAACUACUCACAUUUAUCGUAAAAUCUAAUUUUGCAUCGGGUUUCAGGAAGGUUUGUUAUUUCUUACGAAAGCCGAGAAGGAUCAUUCAAAAUUCAAAAUUCAAUAUUCAAAACUCAAACAUCCUACAUUAAUCUAUCAUGAUUCCCCGCGCUUACAGAAGCCAAAAAAGAUUGCAAUUUACACUUUAAUAUACUACUGAAAGCUAUUUUAUAAAGUUUGUUAAGAACACGAACCCAUUGAAACAAGGCAAAGGGUCCGUUAAACCUUCAUAGGGAUACAUCCAAUUCCAUUGAAACCCUUGGUAACACAGCGUCAUUGCAAGUAGCAGCCCUCUAUCAAGAAAAAAGGAAAGGAAACCCGAGCCUGGAAAGUCGCUGUACUGAAAUGGAACGUUCACAAUGGAAAAAUUGAAAUCAUCGCUUUUUCGUAAAGUUUAAAUAUGCAUGAAAUAAUUUCCACUGGAGGUUAAGCAAACAACAAAUCUCUUAUAAUAACCUAGUUUUCCAACGGAAUUAUCUAGUUAUUAAAAUAUGUAUAAACAAAAGACAGAGUUUGUGUAUCAAUUAUCAACUUCUGAUAAUUUAAUGUUGUUAUAUCAACAAAAUUCGAGUUUUGACGAUUUUUCUUUAGUUAUUUGGGAGUACGGUCUAUGAUUGACGAAAGAUGAUACUUUUGGCAUUUUACUUAUGUAAUUCCAUUUAUUAAAAGCGUAUAAGGGUCAUCCUUUUUAUUUAUUUUUUUUCAAAUUAUCGACUUUAAUCUUGGAAUUAUCAACUUUAAUCUUAAAAUUUCCAACUUUAAUCUUGGAGUUAUCAAUUUUAAUCUGGGUGGAGGAGUUAACUUCGAUUUUUUUUUGGUAGGGGUGUGCUACGUUUGUCUAAAACGAUGUACCCAUUUUUAUAUAAUAUUAACUAAUAUAUGGUACCUAUAUUUAUAUAUUAAAAUUGUGACCCGCCAUGACAUUUCCAGGCUUAUGGAGGUUGAACGUCAUUGUUAGAAAAAUUAUAAACAUGAUAAAUAUCGAGAAAAAGGAUACGCUUUCCUUGGCUUCUUUUUUUAGGAGCCGAACUAUAUAUUAUAUAUAAGUUUUGAGAAGUUUUACUUAUCGUUUGAAGUGAAAAAUAUUUGAAUGUACAUUUUUGAUUGAUACACAAAAAAAAACCAAAAUUCUCUGCUCUAAAGAUUUUAUUUCAUAAAUGGAGUCUGAACUAUAUCCAUAACAAAUGCACCGUAUCAAAUGCAUAUAAGAACACCUACUUAGAAACGUUACGCUCGCAUACUAUGUAUAAAGACAUGCAUAAUAAAUUUUAAUCAAAAGAAGGAAUUCUUAAAGCUUACUUUGACAAAUUUUAAACUAACUUCAUUUCAACAAGUUUAAAUUAGAUAAUAUCCUAAAAUAGAGCUACAAAAAACCAAAAUGCUCUGCUCUAUAGAUUUUCUUUCAUAAAUGAAGUUUAAUGUCUGUACAUGAAAAUAAUAUAUAGUUGUGAAUCUAGUAACAGUAUACAUUUGUCAAGUUGGGAAUCUAAUUGACUAUGAACAUUUGCCAAGUAGGGAACCUACUGACUGUAUACAUAUAUUUUGGUCAGAAAAGUAGUUUGACGUUCGAAAUACUCAUAAUAUCUCUAACAUUAACCGAUUUUUUUUUUUUAGAGUACAACAAAGUUUUUAACAAAAAUGCUGGUCCAUGAUCAUAAGCCUACAUUAGCUGAAA
rnacentral:lncRNA from 1 species